AAGGUGCCACAGGACUUUGUUGCGUUUUACUGAUAAGGUUUGUCUCAGUUCUUUUUUCACCUUUUUCUAUUAUUUAGAGUAAUCACUAUUUUUGAAUAUAUUAAUUAAACCCUAAAUAUUAUUUAAUCCAAUCUAAACAUUAGUGUCACCUGAAUUUUCCCCUCUACUAGCAAGACCUAACUGAAUUUUGCAGCUUUCUGGCAAGUGAGGAGACAGUGAAUUUGGGGAAUUAAAUCACUCUGUUUGUGGGUGGAUGUUUAAUGCUCACAUUAGUGCACAAAAUAACAUACUAAGGCAAUGUCUACACUACAGAGUUAUGUCAACCUAAUAGUUAUGAAAUCACGUGUGUGUGUGCACAAAUGCGUAUCCUCAGCCUCCUGUGGCUGCUGGAAGAUCCAGUUACGUGGGGGUUGUUCUGCACUCUGUGGGGUGAGGAUUCAGCCAGGAGAAGGGGCAGACGAGGGGAGUUUGUUUUUGAUUUGCAGGGACGUUUUCAGCAGGAGCCAGUGCAGGUGGCCCUGGGUAGCGCCUGAGUAGCGGCCCCAGGGGUGGCCUGGAAAGCACCUGAAUAGCAGCCAGUGCAGCUGGCUGCAGGGAGCACCUGAGCAGUAAUCCCAGGGGCAGUCUCAGGGAUCACUGAAGCAGUGAUCUCAGGGGCUGCCCCAGGGCCAACCACACCAGCCACUGCUCAGGCAGCCCCAGGCAGCCCCUGGGGAGUGCCCAAGCAGUGGCUAUUGUGGCUGGCCCCAGGGAUCAUGGGGCCAGUCCCAGGAAGCCCCAAACAAUAGUCCUGGGGGUGCCCCAAGGACCUCUAGGGCAGCAGCAGUCUAGGUGGUGGUUGGAUCAGUGAUCCCAGGGGCCGUUGGGAGAGUGGUGCCCCUGCUCCUGGUGCCCCAGGAGCAGCCCCCCUCCCCCCCCCGAGCACUGGGGCCCAGGAGCAGAGAUUAGGUGGUGGGGAUUUAUAGUAAAAGUAAUUAACAUUUCACAGGCUGUGGAUUUUUGGUUAUUGCCUGUGACCAGUCUAUGGCUUUUACUAAGAAUACCCAUGACUAAAUCUUAGCCUUAGCCAUGGCACUCAGAGGCUCCCAGGCAGAUUUUUAAUUUUUCCUUGGCCUCAUACAAAUAUUUUUCCCAUCAAAAUGAUCAAGAUAAUUUAAAAUGAGAAGAACAAAACAAAUCAAAGCCAAAGUAACCCCAACCAAUCAGCCCUUACACAGUUUGGGGCUGAAUUUAUCUACUGAAAGGUUUAGGUGAUAAAAUGAAGCCCUUUUUUAGUCAGAAAACAGACCUAGACUUCCCCUGCUGUAUAUAAGACUUCUGCUACUGAACCACCAAUGCUCAGCUCCUCUUGUGAGACAUUUCCAGGUACUCAAUAUUGCUGAUAUUCCAGGGGAUCAGUUAUUGAUUCCAGGAAAUAUUUUUCUUACCCCGGUUCCAUGUGUCACUGGUUUCUCUAGCAAAGCCCAGUCCAUGGCCCUAUGGUCCAGACAUCCUCCUUCAAAUCAAGCUAGAACCUAAGAAUUCUUUCCCUUUUCCCAGUUGUGGGAGGGGAGACAUUUAAAAGCCCUCUCUGUGCUACUGCACAUAGCUAAGCAAAGAACACACUCCAAAUUCCCUCUGUACUUUGAGAGGCAGGUUUGCUGUUUGAAUUCUGUAUUUCAGAUGCCCUCAAGCCUGGGCAUUGUGAUUAUUUAUCAGUUUCUUUGGCACUGCAGAUUCAAUGGGGUGAUGGCUGAGUGGUUAAGCUGUUGGACUAGAAAUCCCAUGGGGUUCUCCUGCUCAGGUUUGAAUCCUACUCCCUGUGUGAACUGCCUUUCAGCUACAGUUUCUAACUAGAGCAAUACAUCUAUACACACCCCAGAGACACUUCCCAUCGCAAGUAAACCCUGUUCUGCUACUCUCAUAGAGACUGCUGGGAUCCUACCUCACACUGUGUCCCUGAGGUCUCAGGCAAAUUCUCAGCUCCCAAAGCCUCUGCCACUCACCUACUGCCCCACAACUUAACCCAAACCGUGGCUGCUGCUCCUCUCUGGAGAGUGUGAAAGGAGCGGAGGCAGUGCAGGAGCCUUCCCUGGGGCCUGAGGCUUUGGGAGAGACAGAUUGUUUAAGAAUCUGAGUGUUGGAAACCAUGGGCCCACCACCUAAAUCAGGGGCCUGUUCCAGCCCUGAGUCUAAGCUGCCGGAACCCCACCCCCCCGCUGCCCACAAAGCAGGGUGCCCCAGAUUACAGCCUGAAAAUAGGCAUGUGACUCUAAGCCCUAGUCUACACUACGAGUUUAGGUCAAAUUUAGCAGUGUUAGAUAGAUGUAAGCCUGCACCCAUCCACACGACGAAGCCAUUUUUAUCAACUUACAGGGCUCUUAAAAUUGAUUACUGCACUUCUCCCUGAUGCUGAAAUUGACAUCACCAGGUCGAAUUUGGAGUACUAUGGACACAAGUCAGCGGUGUUGGCCUCUGGGAGCUAUCCCAGAGUACUCCAUUGUGACCACUCUGGACAGCACUUUCAACACAGAUGCACUAGUCAGCCAGGAACUGUUUAUCACCCUGGAACCAAUACCCUCCCAACCAUCCCGAAGCGGGCUCCCGGACCAUGAAGCCAGACAAGGCACCUCUGCUGCAAAUGUUUCAAUGCUUCCCCUAUCAUCUCCAUCCCAGAGGCUAGUGCAGAUAAGGUGA